rnacentral:lncRNA from 1 species
AUAACCAUGGCAAAGAAGUAUGAAGAAUUAUCAGAAUACUUAUCAGAUGACGUGGAAGCCAAUCCAAUUAGCGAUAGCCUUACUAUGAGUGAUGAUGAAGAAGAAGGAGAGGGUGAUGGUAGUACUGCUGAUGAGGAGGGUCAAAUAUCACCAUUUUCUUCUCAGCAAUGGCCCCAAAGUUUCAGGUUAAUACUUCACUUCACUUCAGUUCCCAUAACUUGUCCACAAUGAUUAGGGAACAAAUCACUUUAUUGCUUUUGUUCCAUUCAAACUCCGGUGUCUUAUAGUUUGUGUUUCAGUUUUAUGGACCAAACAUUGGGUGUCAAUUUGGGAUAACAACUGUAAAAGGGAAAAAAGGAUUUAAUGAGAAUCCUAUGUUAUGUUGUAGGAACUUGUUUAGAUAAAUAGAAGAUAAAAUUGUUGCUUUCUAUCAACCUUAGUUUUUAGACGACACAUAAAUACACUUCAACAUGGUGACGAAUGGAGUUUUUUUUCAAUUUCAGUUGCUUGGCCCAGCUUCCUUUUCUCUACCUGACUGAUAUUCUGCUUCAGCUGUGCAUUUUAGUCCUUGAUUAGAAUUCC